GGUUCCUCAGCACCGUGGGUUGGGGUUGUGGCCAGUGUGGGAAGCAGCUGCCUCCAUUGCCACAAGCUGCUGCCUGAGUCACCCGGAAAGGGAGAAUGCUGGCCCUGGUGAGCAGAGCAAAGCAGGAGGAGCAGUGCACUCGGAGAACCCACAAAGAGACCAACCCCACCAUUUCAUGGCGCCACCCUUUCAAGUUGGCUGACCUGUGUGUAUUUUUUACUUGUGUGUAUGUAUAUAAAGUUUGAAACCAUUUGAAAGGCAGCCAUGUUGGCUUGUGCUCCGGGAGGACGGGAGAGGAAUUGGCGUCUGCCAAAUGGAAAAGGAUAAACUGGUGUAAUGAUAUGUUGCAAUCACACUGCAAAACCUACCACAGUAAAUUACUGCUGUAACAACCUCCUUCCUGUUGCGAAAGGCUCCAACCAGGCUUUCUUGUGUCUUCUUGACAUUUCAGUUCUUGAGGGAACGUUGUCUCUGCAUCCCUUACACUGAGUGACUGCUAAGCUUCUUUGAGGACAAGACGAAAACAAGCAUGUAGGCCAGGAGAAGCAAGUGCCUGAUCUGGGGCUGGACAAUGCUGCCAGACAUGAGCACCAUCAGUCUGUAGAGACUAACCUUUGGUGUUGUGGGCAAGGCUUCUUCUGGCACAUUGGUCUUUACUGUGUCCAGUCUUUUCUCCCCUGCCUGCUUGCUGGCAGCUGGUGUCAGUGUUUGUGGGUCACACGAGGUUUUCAUGGCAUCACCUGCACAGCUCAGCCACUGGGAUGCUCUGCCCUGUGCCUGUAGCCGUGCUUUGGCCAGGCUCAGUGGCCCAGGGGGAGGGUUGUCCUCUGACGUGGCCUGUGGGAAAUGAGCUGCAGCUCCUGAUUCUGUCUGUCCCAGAUGCAUUUCCUCUCCACAGACAUUGCGCUGCGUUUGGCACACGGUUGUGUUUUGUUAACACUAAAUAAAGGAGUGAAAAGGGAGAAAGCCAGAAAACUGAAUUACUGUCCUGGUUUCAGAGCAAUCCUCCAACUGGGAGGGGAGAAGGUGACAACCUCAGUGUGGGAAAAUUUUCAGGCUGCUCUCUAAGUUGUUUAUGUUCUGCAGAGAGAGUGGUUUGGGUCUUAUGAAUCCAACUGCAUGUUUGAGAAAAAAUUAUUCAAUGGCUUAAGGAAAGGAGGAAAGCGCCUCCUUCUUUAGGGGAAAGCAAUGAGAUCCUGGUGGUUUCAGAGGUGUAAGGUGAUGGCCCUUUGGCAGCACUUUCUAGAAAAGCAUCAUACAAAACUUGAUCUGCCGGUUAGCACUGAAACAAGAAAACAGCGGGAGGAACUCAGAGCUGGCUUGUACCAGAAAUGUACAAACCACCUGUUGCGAUCCAUGUUGUCAAACCAGUCACAGGGGGACAUCUCUUCCCAGAGGAUUCAUCUCCUGCUUGUGAGAUAGAUGGUGAGUGUUGAGAAUGCUGGGAAUUAAACAGAGAAUCUGUGAGUAUCUAAGAGCUAAAUGGAAUGGAAUCUCCCUUUUCUCAAGACACUUUCCAGCCUGGCAAAUGAUGGGGCUCCCAGCACCCUGUGCUUUUCCAGGUGCUGAUUUGACUGGACUUGGACUUUUUACAGCUGAGCCUGCUGUGCUGGCUGCCUCGGAUAUGAAUGAACUUUUCAUUUCUCUUUUGUGGUGUGUAUGCAAUUAUGUUUUCUGAAAUAAAGCUAAACCAAAAAACAACAGCUUUGCCCCACGCCAACUCCUAUCAUUACCUUCCUGUACUUGAAGUU